rfam:Glossina fuscipes fuscipes unplaced genomic scaffold Scaffold82, whole genome shotgun sequence.
ACGUCCCGCUGUACGAUGCGCAAUAAUUGCACCCGGCCUCCGCGAAGUAAUACCUAAAGGUGGUCCCACGGAGGAGAGCGGCAGAAGAAGCGUGUUGGGGGUAAUUUUUAGUACGUAUGCGCCAUGGAUGGCGAAUCGUGCAUGCUGCUACUAAGAACCAGCGGUAUCUUUUGAAGAUUUUCUACCUCCAGCUCGC